AUUGAACGCUGGCGGCAGGCUUAACACAUGCAAGUCGAGCGGGGUGAUGGUGCUUGCACUAUCACUUAGCGGCGGACGGGUGAGUAAUGCUUAGGAAUCUGCCUAUUAGUGGGGGACAACAUCUCGAAAGGGAUGCUAAUACCGCAUACGUCCUACGGGAGAAAGCAGGGGAUCACUUGUGACCUUGCGCUAAUAGAUGAGCCUAAGUCGGAUUAGCUAGUUGGUGGGGUAAAGGCCUACCAAGGCGACGAUCUGUAGCGGGUAUGAGAGGAUGAGCAGCAACACGGGGACUGAGACACGGCCCAGCAUCCGACGGGAGGUAGCAGUGGGGAAUAUUGGACAAUGGGGGGAACCCUGAUCCAGCCAUGCCGCGUGUGUGAAGAAGGCCUUAUGGUUGUAAAGCACUUUAAGCGAGGAGGAGACUCUUUUGGUUAAUACCCAAGAUGAGUGGACGUUACUCGCAGAAUAAGCACCGGCUAACUCUGUGCCAGCCGCCGCGGUAA
rnacentral:rRNA from 1 species